UACGUAGGGGGCAAGCGUUGUUCGGAAUUACUGGGCGUAAAGCGUGCGCAGGCGGUUCGUUAAGUUCGUUGUGAAAGCCCCGGGCUCAACCUGGGAACUGCAAUGGAAACUGGCGGGCUUGAGUGUGGCAGAGGGGGGUGGAAUUCCGCGUGUAGCAGUGAAAUGCGUAGAGAUGCGGAGGAACACCGAUGGCGAAGGCAGCCCCCUGGGCCAACACUGACGCUCAGGCACGAAAGCGUGGGGAGCAAACAGG
rnacentral:rRNA from 1 species